ensembl:snRNA LOC120099544 U2 spliceosomal RNA
AUCGCUUCUCUGCCUUUUGGCUAAGAUCAAGUGUAGAUGCCUAAUAAAGAAAUUUUCGUGUCUGCUUAACAAAACAUACCUUCCUUAUGAGUCUCAAGGAAGACCAUUGCUAGUGUGCUUUAAAAUGUGAGCAAAGUUCUUUUCCUCUUGAGGUGUACUUUGCCAGGAACACCAUACACU